GGUGGAAUAAGUAUCUUUUCGAAAGAAAAAAAAAAACAAGAAAAGUCAAUGGGAGAGAUGCUCUGGAGCCGGCAAGUUUGAAUUAUUGCUGAUUGGCGAGCUCGUUUGAAGUUUCCACUUUCUGCAGAUAUAAAUGUACGAACCAAACUGAAACAACCACAGAGAGCAAAUGGCAGGAGGAGUGAGGAGGAUCAAGUUGGGUUCACAAGGCCUUGAGGUCUCUGCUCAAGGCCUGGGAUGUAUGAGCAUGUCUGCCUUCUAUGGCGCUCCGAAGCCCGACGCAGACAUGAUCAGUCUCAUCCACCAUGCUAUUGACUCCGGAGUCACCUUCCUCGAUACCUCUGACAUCUACGGCCCCUUCACCAACGAAAUUCUUCUUGGCAAGGCUCUGAAGGGUGGGGUACGAGAGAAGGUUGAAUUGGCCACCAAGUUUGGUAUCAGCUUUGCUGAUAACAAGCCGGAGGUUCGAGGUGAUCCUGCAUAUGUGAGAGCUGCUAUUGAGGGUAGCUUGAAGCGCCUUGGUGUUGAUUCUGUUGAUCUCUAUUAUCAGCAUCGGAUUGAUACCCGUGUACCCAUUGAAGUCACGGUUGGGGAACUCAAGAAACUAGUUGAAGAAGGUAAGGUAAAGUACAUUGGACUAUCCGAGGCCUCUGCUUCCACAAUAAGAAGAGCACACGCUGUUCAUCCAAUAACAGCUGUGCAGUUGGAGUGGUCGUUGUGGUCAAGAGAUGUGGAGGAAGAUAUAAUUCCUACUUGCCGGGAACUUGGCAUCGGCAUUGUUGCAUACAGUCCUCUAGGAAGAGGAUUCUUUUCAUCAGGAGCUAAGUUGUUUGAAAAUCUUCCCAAUGAUGAUGUCCGAAAGUAUCUACCUAGGUUCCAAGCCGAAAACCUAGAGCAUAAUAAAACAAUAUUCGAGCGGGUUAGUGAUCUUGCAGCAAGGAAGGGGUGCACCCCAUCUCAGCUAGCACUGGCCUGGGUUCAUCAUCAAGGAAACGAUGUGUCCGAUACCCGGAACCACCAAGAUUGAGAAUUUUAACCAGAACAUUGGUGCUCUCUCUGUGAAACUGACACCAGAAGAACUGGCUGAGCUUGAAUCUUUUGCUUCUGCUGAUGCCGUUAAAGGUGACAGAUAUCAGAAUGACUUUAGUACUUGGAAGAACUCUGAAACUCCUCCAGUGUCUUCAUGGAAAGCCGCAUGAGCAUGUGCCUUUUGUCAUGCCAUAAUGCUUCUUUGUACCCCAUGAGCUUUGUAAAUUUCUUUCCCGUUAUGAGAAUAAGUAGUUCAUGUGAAGUGGUAUGUAAUGACUGACUUUGAGACGUUUGUCAUUUUGUAAGCAGAUUUCAUCAUGUUGUAUGAGUAUCUAAAAGUAUGAAAUAAUCUGGGGUCAAACGAAGUUUUUCAUUUUA